rnacentral:rRNA from 1 species
UACGUAGGCAGCGAGCGUUGUUCGGAGUUACUGGGCGUAAAGGGUGUGUAGGCGGUUCUUUAAGUUUGGUGUGAAAUCUCCCGGCUCAACUGGGAGGGUGCGCCGAAUACUGAGGGACUAGAGUGCGGGAGAGGAAAGUGGAAUUCCUGGUGUAGCGGUGAAAUGCGUAGAUAUCAGGAGGAACACCGGUGGUGUAGACGGCUUUCUGGACCGUAACUGACGCUGAGACACGAAAGCUAGGGGAGCAAACGGG